ensembl:lncRNA
AUGUCCCAUAUGUUCGUAUCAUACGUGUCCUCUAUCUGUAUAAGGAUUUUGAUCAGUAAAGACAAAAUGAAUGAAUGUUUUGGUAGAAUGUGCAAGGCCAGUCUUCAGAAGGUGAUUUUGCUGGGUGCAGUGACGCAUAGCUGUAAUCCCAGCGUUUUGGGAGGCUGAGGUGGAUCACUUGAGGCCUAGAGUUCGAGAUUAGCCUGCCAAUAUAGUGAAAUCCCGUCUCUAUUAAAAGUACAAAAAGGUACUGGGGCAUGGGCACGCACGCCUGUAAUGCCAGUUACUGAGGAGGCUGGGGCAUGAGAAUCGCUUGAACCCAGGUGGCCGAGGGGCAACAAAAUGAAACUCGGUCUCAAAAAAAAAGAGGUGAUUUUUCUAUAUAUUCUAGCGCAGUAAACUAUUUGUUUAUUAGUCAGACCUUUUCUAAUCAACGUAGCAAAAUAUCAAACUUCAGAUAAUAAACAGUAGUUGAAAGAUAGCUCAUUCAUUUGUAAUUUUUUUGUUUGCUUAAAUCAUAAGAUGUAUAAUUAUAAUUUUUUUUAAAAGCACUGAAUUUCCCCAUUCCUCCGUUCAGCAUAGGAAUACUUAAAUUUGAAGAAAACAACAAUUCUUGGAAGAAUAAUUUAAUUAUAUUACAGAACUAAGUUAUGAAGGUAUCGGCACAAAAUACUGUGUUCAGGUUCUUGCUAAAGUUCAUAAGGUGGACUGAUGACAACAUAGGUGUUCAAUAGUUUUUGUAUUUUUUUUCCUAAACUUAAGCCUAACCCUCACCUAAGCCUAUAGUUAUGUGUUGAUUAAAUUACAUGUAACACAGAGCAGCCUAACUGGUAUUUGAAAUGAAACUGAGAAACUGCUUUUCUCCUUUAAUCUUUUCUCUGUGCAUUUCUAUGUUUUCUAGGUUUCAAAAUACUAGAGGAUAAAAAUUCUUAAAUUUUACAAAACAGAUAAAGUAUGGUUUGAAAUUUUUAAAAAACUGUACAUUUCCUGGAACCUCUUAGUUUAAAUGUGUAAACUGUUACAUAUUAGCAUUAUCCUGGAAUUAUCAUAUCAUCAAGGGCCUUCAUAGGCAUCAAAACCCAAUUAUUAAUAACACUUAGACUUAGUAUCCUUUAUUGAAUUGUAUGAACCAGAAUUUCUAGUGUGCUUUCAAUUCUAUACAUUAUUUGACCAAAGUAAGUAUUGCCAUUAUGAAAACAGAGUUGAUUUACCUAUGAAGCAUGGGUUCCAUAUUUGUACAUAGUUGAAAAACUGCUAGCAGUGGGCAUUUGGGGUAAUUUUUUUUUAAAAAAAGGACACGUGGAUGCAUGUUUUACUUCAAAUGUCACUAUUUUCUUUCAGAUGUGCUGAAUCUGAUCUUCGAUACAGUGUCAAAUUUCCUAACUUGCAAUGCAGGGCAUUUUUUAAUAUUAAAUGAAAAAAUGUGAAUUAAAAACAAAAUAAAAUGUUAUUUAAUAAAAUAAACCAGAUACAAAAUCUUGCCUUGUAUUUACAGAUAAAUUUUAAUGGAAUAUUUCAUGGUCUAACACAAAUAUGAGACCCAAUGACACUAAGUCUUGUACAGCCUUUGGCUUACCCUGUAUAACAAAAUCUGUUAUUUAAAGUAGACUAUAAAAUACUUUAUGGUAAGUGAACUUCCAAAGACACAAAGAAAAUCCUCCAUAAAUUUAAAAGCUUAUCUGAAAUCCUUAUUGGCAGAAGCUUAGGUUGGAUAUAUGAUUAAUUGCAUUAUCUUAGGUAGCUGAAAUAUAUAAUACUGGUUAGAGUGCGAAGGUUAAAAAAAAUAGGUUUAGGUAUUUUUGCUUCUGUUCCUACUCAACAUUAGUAAACACACUUAAGUGAAUGUAAAAUUACCUUUACAGAGUUUUAAAAUUUUGGCAAUCUCAAGCAAAUUUCCCUAAGUCAGCAACAUUUUUUUUUAAACCCUUAGUCAUCGUAUUACAAGGUUCAUAUAUUCCAAGGAAUAUUGAUUAAAUGUUGUACAAAUUAGAUAACAUUUAUUUUACUGAUGCUUAAUUUUUAAAACCUCCAUUUAGAAAUUUACAAGUAAAAUGGGCGUCAUCGAGGAAAACUAAAAUGGAUGGAUAAUGUAUGUAGUUGAAUAAAAGGUAUUCAAAAUAAUGUUUUUGGCGUAAAGAAUGUUUUGUACCAUCAUUUUAAUAACCUGUCCCUGGAAAGAAGAAAGUUCCAUCUUUCAAUGUCUGUUUUCAAGGUUAAGAAAUGUACUAAAUGAAUAGACAAUUCAGUAAUGUCCAACAGAUAACUAAAAUUCAAAUUUUAUUUUUCCAUAUUUAUCGGACAAUUUUUUUUCUGACAAGACUAUACUGAAAAAUGAAGUGCAAAUGGGAACUCUGUAAAAAUGUUUAUAAGAGUUGUACAUGACAUACUUUAAACGCCGCUAAGUACACAUUGAAUACUUUGUAAGUAUAUAGGCAUAUCAACAUGCAAGUGUCAUGUACCUAAUAUUACAAUAUGCAUUUUGUUUUUUGAAAAUGUUAAUGACAAGAGUAGAUUCAGUAACUAUGUUUCUCCAUUUUCUGUGCUUAUAUGGUUAAUUUUGUUGGAUCUUCUUUAUAGCACAGAAUUUAUUUUUUAUGCUGUCAUAAAUAUACCCUUCCAAAAGUUAUGAAUUUCAUGUCAUAAAUAGCACAUUUUAUUUUUGAAGCUGCAUUACUGGGAACACCUGCGUUUCUGGAUACCAUUUUCAGAGAUAAGUCUUUAAAUGAUUUUUAGCAUGGCAGACUUGUUCUAAUGUUGUUUGUGUUGAAAUGUUUAUGAUAAAAAUGGAGCUUUCUUGAGGGAGUAUUUUUUGGUUGAAUGAAAAGCUAAACAACAAAUUCACGAAUAUUGAUGUGAAUGCAAUAUGAAGAAAACAGGUCAGUAAUCUCAAAUUCAUAAAUCCUUGGGUUAUGACUUGACUGCAUCAUAGAAUCUACAAUAAGUACAGUAGGUACAGUUAAAUAAAUUUGAAAAAAAAUUAAAAUUGUAUACAUUUAUAAGGAGAAAGAGUACUAGCUUUGAAAAAUUUCUAGAUUUCUGUUCUUUCUAUUUAUGAGAUUUAUUCAAUACAUUAAAAACACAGAGAAAAGCAAAAAGGAUAGAGAUAUAACAAUUCAGUUUACAUUUCAUAGUUUUUUUUAACCAAUUGGUGACCACUGCUUUCAAACAUCAAUAUUUUAUUGCGUAUGAUUUUCACUAUCAGUAAAUAUAAAGAGAAAAGUGUCUACUAGUAUCAUGUACACGAAAAAGCAUCUGAAGAAAUAAAGCAUUUGAGGUUUGACAGUACUGUUUGUAAGUGUAAUGUUGCAUUUCAUACCGCACUUAAAAGUCCAUGUAGUCACUGCUGCUUUGACCCUGGAUGUGGAAAAGUGCUUAAGUGCUGAGCCCUGGUAGGUUUUUGUUUUGCCCCUGCAAUCUUCAAAUAUCUUUUAACUUUUCUUCUUUCGAAAUAUACAGUAUGUUUCGUAGGGGAAAAUAGUGGUUUUUUUUUUUGUUUUUUUUGUUUUUUGUUUUUUACAUCUCUUUCACAUUUGGGCCCAUUCUCUCCAAAAUAAUCAUACAUUUCUUGAUAUAUAUAUAUGUGUGUGUGUGUAUAUAUAUAUAUCAAGAUAUAUAUAUCAAGAUAUAUAUAUAUCACUUCUUGAUAUAUAUAUGCAUACAAAAUAUGUGAAGAUCAACCAAAUAUUAUUGAUAACAUAACCACAUAACAUAGAAACAUCUUACUUUAAGCAUAUUUUAGAGAUUCACCAUUGUAAUUUGAGAUAUUCAUGUUUUUAUUUUUUCCUACAGAAGAGUCUGUCAUUUCUGUUAGGAUAAUUAAAUUACAUCAUUGCAAAAUUCUUAAUAUGUCUAUGCAGACAAAAUGAAGUGGGCAUUUGUGGCAAUACUGUGCAUUAUAUGAGGAUUAUUUAUUAAUAAGGAGAAAUUUUUAAAAUACUUAAAUUGGUCUCAUACAGAUAAUACUACUUGGUAAAAUAAUUCAUAUACAUGAUUUUUACUUAAAACACACCAUGAAUUUAUAAGAAAUGUUACAUUUUAAAAAUUAAAUAUCAGAUUGGAUCGCAAAGUGUUGCCAUUUUAAUUAUUUUUAAAAAUCAAUACAAUUAUAUUAACAUUGAAAUAUUUAAUAGGCAUGAGAAGGACUAUUCUUAUAAAGUUAUAAUAUUUUGCCUUUAGGAAAAGCUAAUGAUAGAAAAGGAAAAACAAAUGCAGAUUCAUACACCACAGAAUACACUGAAGAACUUGGCUUUUGAGAUUUCCCAGGGGGUGGGGAGUGCACUGUUAUAAUAGUUCCGUAAGAAUGCUUCCUGGGAUAUCUGGUAAAUAAUUAUUUCCUCUAUUUAUAUUGAAGUAUCAUAGCCCAUGUUAAAAGUGAGAGGUAGAAGGAUUAUUGUAAGUAUGCAUGGCAGAGAACUUACCAGCUAUGUCCAAUAACUAUUGCAUUCAGUAUUAAUAAUCUCAAUACAUAAAAAUGCUGAUGAUUUUAGAACCCAUUCUUAUAUGUUGUCCCCUUUAACUCUCUUUAUUAUCUUGCUACUUUCAAUCCAUUGCCUUUGGAAGGGUAUGAGUGCAAAGGGCUUGUUCAGGGGUAGAAUAGACAGAGAAAGGGAAAAAAUGAAUAGAAAAAAAAAAGAUAUUUAAAAAUUCCCAUUAAGAUACAGUGACUAACUAUUAAAAGUACCCUAUGUUCUUUCAUUGACUACAUUUGUACUUAUAAUAAAAGUACUACAAUCUAUGAAAACAUGCACACAUUUCAAACAAAACUGAAGAAUUCCCAAUUCAAUGAGAUAUGAAUCGAAAUUUAAAACUCAGGUUAUUUCUUUCUCUGCAAUAACACUAAAAACUAAUCCAAAUAAAAAUGUUACUGUGUCACAUUAAUAAGAAAAACUUAACUUGUCCUUGAAUUAGUUGUAUUUUAAUGAAUGCUUUAGUGUGUGAGAGGUGAA